rnacentral:snRNA from 1 species
GGAUAUAAGGGGUGAUGGAGCUGCAACAUCUGUCACGCCACUGAGCACCAGGGUCGGCUGAGCUCAUCUGGCUCGCUCGGCGGGUGUCCCCUUCCUCCCUCCCGCUCCAGCUGCUCUCCUGACUUCAAAGACAACGUGUGUCAGUGGCUGCCAACCUCCAACUCCAGAGCUGCUCACUAAUUAAGAGUUCCUGAUCUGCGCUUUCUGUUAGAAGUACUAGGGGCAGCUAGAAUGCAGGACACAUGGCAUGAUGCAUACGGCACUUACUUCAU